rnacentral:rRNA from 1 species
CAGUCGCCGCGGUAAUACGGAGGGUGCAAGCGUUAAUCGGAAUUACUGGGCGUAAAGCGCACGCAGGCGGUCUGACAAGUCAGAUGUGAAAUCCCCGGGCUUAACCUGGGAACUGCAUUUGAAACUGUCAGGCUGGAGUCUUGUAGAGGGGGGUGGAAUUCCAGGUGUAGCGGUGAAAUGCGUAGAGAUCUGGAGGAAUACCGGUGGCGAAGGCGGCCCCCUGGACAAAGACUGACGCUCAGGUGCGAAAGCGUGGGGAGCAAACAGGAUUAGAUACCCCAGUAGUCCAUGUCUCUUAUAC